GGUUCAUUCAAAUUUUUGCCCUAUCAACUUUCGAUGGUAAGGUAUUGGCUUACCAUGGUUUCAACGGGUAACGGGGGAUUAGGGUUCGAUUCCGGAGAGGGAGCCUGAGAAACGGCUACCACAUCCAAGGAAGGCAGCAGGCGCGCAAAUUACCCAAUCCCGACCGGGGAGGUAGUGACAAUAAAUACUGAUACAGGGCUCUUUUGGGUCUUGUAAUUGGAAUGAGUACAAUUUAAACCUCUUAACGAGGAACAAUUGGAGGGCAAGUCUGGUGCCAGCAGCCGCGGUAAUUCCAGCUCCAAUAGCGUAUAUUAAAGUUGUUGCAGUUAAAAAGCUCGUAGUUG
rnacentral:rRNA from 1 species